UGAAGGAGCUCCUCCCAAUGUCCCUGGGCGUACUUCCAUCAGCAGCAGCAAGUCAUUGUGCUUCUCGUCCUCGUCAGCCGCUUCGGAAGCCAGCCCUCCUCAGAUCCAGGAUUUCAACUUUGUCUUUGCUGAUGUCCUAGGAGUUAUUUGAACCAUUUACUCAUAAGCUAAUUGUCUCCAACACAAACUUUCAACUUUCAACUUUCUACAUCGGUGGUGUGGUGUUCUGCUUCUUCUGCACCAUUCCAACCAAUUGGAAUGGCAUCAGCUCAAUGGUCGUUUUCGCAAGAUGUUAAUUCUUUAUGAUAGCUGAGACAGCACCACAAUUUUAUGAAACCGGGACAUUUCAUGGUCUGUUUGUAAUUCGGAUAUCAGCAGACAAGAGCAGCCCAAAAAAAAAAUUGUGUUUAUCCUUCAGCUUCUAAAGGAGGAGAUUGUUUUGGUCAAUUACUUGUGGCUGGGCUUGGUAUGAACUUGGUUUGUGAUGUAGCACCUUAAUUUUGCUAUCUAGGUGCAACUACUAUUGACUCCUGUGGUUGGAUCUGAUGAAGAUUUAACUUCUGAAAUUGUGAAUGAAUUUAGCAUAGGAUAUGGUAUGUACUGCUAUAUGUGCAGUUCUGGUCAAUAAGCGUAUUUGUGUAUAUGUGCAUGUAUGUAUGUGACUAGGCUAUGCUUGUAUGUAAUUGGGCUUGUGCUAUAUAUUGAUUGUUACCUGGGGUUACAUAGCCUCUGUAAUAUAGGGUUCUUUUGGGUAUAAUUUUUGGCCCAUGUAGGCUUUCGAAAUUGGGCCGAUGUAGAUAAUCCAAUUGUAGGCCCAUUUAGGUUUAGCCCAUUGGGCUCUUUACCAAGCAACAACACAUAUUAUGACAAAUUAAAUUGUCACAAUAGAUCUGCCAUGUCAGCACCAUGUGGCA